rnacentral:rRNA from 1 species
UACGUAGGGACCGAGCGUUGUCCGGAAUCAUUGGGCGUAAAGAGCGUGUAGGCGGCCUUUUAAGUCCUGCGUGAAAUCCUGCGGCUCAACCGCAGACGGUCGUGGGAAACUGGAAGGCUAGAGUGCGGGAGAGGAGAGUGGAAUUCCCGGUGUAGCGGUGAAAUGCGCAGAUAGUCGGGAAGAACACCCGUGGCGAAGGCGGCUCUCUGGAACGCAACUGGACGCUGAGACGCGAAAGCGUGGGGAGCAAACAGGG